AGGAAUUUCCUGCAGUGUUUAAGACACGCAUGUGGAGGCAGGAGCAGGAGAGUGCAGUGACCAAGUGUCUUGUUUCACAGAACUUCCCAUGCCAUCCUAACAAGUGCAGGAUGUCAUUUUUUCCUGUAUCUUAGGCCAAUGGUACAUAUUUUUCUCUCUUUAUCGGCCUUUCUCACUGGUUUGUUUUGCUUGCAUACUAUGCCUCAUAGUAUUAUGACGCUGACCAACACUGGGAAGAAAAGCUCAAGCAGUCUGCACCGCAUGUACCAAACCUUCUGAUGAUCUCAUCUAAUUGUUCUUUAAAAAAAGCACAACAAAACGUGAAAUUGUUGUGACUCAAGAAAAAGAAGAAACUGCUUUGGAGUCUCCUCACUAUUGAUUCUGCUGUCAGUGUGAAUUCCCUGCACCCCUGUGAUCCGGAGAUCUUUGUUUUCUCGUGAUUCGGUCCCUCUCCGGUUCUGCCCCUCGCCACAGCUGAUUUCAGUGAACUCCAGAGGGAAAUCACUUGUGGAAGAGGCACAGCAAUUGCUUCAGCUACUGCUGCCUUCUGACUGAAUCGAAAGAUUCGCUUAGGCUCCUCUGCAAGUUAAAGAUGCCAUUUGUUUGCUCUCAAAGAUGAAUGCAGUGUCACAUCCCUUCCCUCCGAGGCUGUGGUGCUCCCCCAGCACCGUGGCGUUUCGUGCUGGCGUUGCUCACUGCGGGCUGCCGGUGUUGCUGCGGACAGAUAUGCGUGCAGAUCGAUGGGCGAGCAGCCAGCCCUGCUUGUGCUGAUGUAGUGCUCAGGAGCACCCUCCCCAGAUUUUAAUCCUCUGUGGCUAACUUUUCCUGUUCCUCUGUGGCAAUGCCAGAUAUGCCUGCUAUGACUUGAGGAGGUGGUACUCUUCCUGUUGCACAGAGAACAAAGUCUUUCUGGACUGAGCCAUGGUUCAGUUUUGUCAUCUGUUCUUAAGCUGAACCAUCACCACUUCAUGUUUUUUUUUUUUUUUUUAAUGUGGCAAGUUCAGUAAGAAUUGGGUAACAUGUGACUAAUCUCUAUACCCCAUUUAAAAUCCAUUCGAAAUAGUGUUUUCUGCUUAAUUUCUUCUUGCCACCCCUCCAAAAAUUUGCCAGAUUACCCAAUUUCGUCUCUGUGUCUGGGUGCCACCCACCUCCCUGGUCUACUGAAAAUCCCCAUCCCAUACGGAUUGCUGGUCAUUUCCACAUGACAAUUUACUGAACGUCUUCUUCACGUCCAUACAGACAAAGGAAAAAAAGAGUGAUGUCUCGCGUUAACUUCAUCCUCCUUUUUUUCAAUAUUAAAAUGACUUUAACUGUC
ensembl:lncRNA